rnacentral:rRNA from 1 species
UACGUAGGGGGCUAGCGUUGUCCGGAAUCAUUGGGCGUAAAGCGCGUGUAGGCGGCCCGGUAAGUCCGCUGUGAAAGUCGGGGGCUCAACCCUCGGAUGCCGGUGGAUACUGUCGGGCUCGAGUACGGAAGAGGCGAGUGGAAUUCCUGGUGUAGCGGUGAAAUGCGCAGAUAUCAGGAGGAACACCAAUUGCGAAAGCAGCUCGCUGGGACGUUACUGACGCUGAGACGCGAAAGCGUGGGGAGCAAACAGG